CGGGCAUCGCCAAAUGCGCACCGAUUUUUAAAAACCGGUGCGAAAAAAAUAGUCGAGAUUGAGGGAAAGAGAUUUCGCACCGGUUCUAACCAAACCGAAAAGUUUGUUUUUCGCACCGGUUCUUACAAAAUCGGUGGGAAAAGUCAAAAAAUCGCACCGGUUCAGUUCUAACCGAUGCGAAAUCUAUUGUUAAAUAUAUAAAAAAAACCCGGUCAAUCUUCUUUCUUUCUCUUUCAUUUCCUCGAUAUUUCUUCCUCUCUUAUCUGCCUCUCUCUCCUCCAUUGAAGCGUACUCAAAAUUCUCCAUUGAAGGGGCUUCUGAGCUUUCUCUCAGCACUUUCCUCAAACUCCUUCGAUCUCCUUCUCCAUAACCGCCACUUUCCCUUUCCUUUCUUCUCUCUUUCGAUCUCCUUCUCCUUCUCUGUCAAAAAUCAGCUCAAAUCAAACGUGGUCGUAUUCUCUGCUCCUUCAAUGUUCCUUAACGUCUCUUGGUUCAAUUUUUAUGAUAAUUUUUGCUGGGUUUUGUAAUUAGGGUUUCUAAUUUGACUCUGAAUAUCCGAAAUUGUUUUUGGGACGAUAUUGUAGAAAACUGCAAAUACUCUUCAUGGUGGGGGUUGAGAAGGCGUGUCCUUGUGGAUUGGGGAGUUGUUUGGUUCUUACUGAUAAUACAGAGCGUAAUCGCGGUCGGAAGUUCUUUCGUUGCCCUAAUCGUCAAGUUUGUGAGUUUAUUUCUAAUUAGGGAUUUUGAUUUUUAUCACAGCAUUUACUCACCAAUUUCAUUCGGAAAGAGACAUGACCCCAAUGGCGGUUUUAUCAGGCAUUUUCUUCCUGUAUUGAAAGAUAUGCCAAAACAGUACAUUUAUGAACCAUGGACAGCUCCCAAGAGCCUCCAAGUGAAGGCUAAAUGCAUAAUUGGGAAAGACUAUCCAAGUCCUGUGGUUUCCCAUGAUUCUACAAGCAAAGAAUGUAAACGGAAGUUGGCUGAAGCAUAUGCAUUGAACUGUCAGUCAAAUGGUGUUGUCAGUGAAGAUGAUUUAGGCAAGUUGGACGAAAAUUAGAGGAAGAUCAGCAGACACAGAAACCUGCUGCUAAAAAGCAAAACCAGAAGUUGGUUUUCCUGUCUGUGUUGUUGUGAGCUGUUGUUUCUGCUACAAUGUUGUGUCUGCUGUCCUGUGAUGUCGAGUUUUCCUGUGUUGAUGUGAUGCGCUGCUGUGUUGGUGUUGCUGUGUUGCUGUCUGCUUCCUUUUGCAGUGCUGUGUUGCUGGUUUCUGGGGUGCUGUGAUGCUGAGUUGAUGUGCUUGCUCUGCUGCUUUGGUGUUGCGCUGUGUUUUGUUAGUUUUGUAGCCUGUUGAGCUGCUUAGUUCGAUUUUUACUAUUUAUAUGCUUCAUUAGAAUAGGUUUUUGGAGUAUUAGAAGUAAAUUUCUGUAACUUUAUAUAUACGUUAGUGUUUAUAUAUCAAUUUAAGU